rnacentral:rRNA from 1 species
AACGAACGCUGGCGGCAUGCCUAACACAUGCAAGUCGAACGAGACCUUCGGGUCUAGUGGCGCACGGGUGCGUAACGCGUGGGAACCUGCCCUUAGGUUCGGAAUAACACUCUGACAGGGGUGCUAAUACCGGGUAAUUUCUUCGGACCAAAGAUUCAUCGUCGUUGGGUGGGCCGGCGUUGGUCUAGCCGGUGGGUAGGGUAAAAGCCUACCAGGGCGCCGCUCCAUAGCUGGUCUGAGAGGAUGGGCAGCCACACUGGGACUGGGACGCGGCGCGGACUCCUGCGGGAGGCGGCAGUGGGGAAUCUUGGAGGAUGGGGGGAAGGCUGAUCCAGCAAGGCCGGGUGAGUGAUGAAGGCGUGAGGGUUGUAAAGCUCUUUUACCCGGGAUGGUAAUGACGGUACCGGGAGAAUAAGCGCCGGCUAACUCCGUG